rnacentral:rRNA from 1 species
AGAACGAACGCUGGCGGCAGGCCUCAAACAUGCAAGUCUAGGGGGGUGUAGCAAUACAUCACCGGCGGACGGGUGCGUAACGCGUGGGAAUGUACCUACUGGUUCGGAACAACUGCGGGAAACUGCAGCUAAUACCGAAUGUGCCCGCAAGGGGAAAGAUUUAUCGCCAGUAGAUCAGCCCGCGUAGGAUUAGCUAGUUGGUGGGGUAAUGGCCCACCAAGGCUCCGAUCCUUAGCUGUUCUGAGAGGAAGAUCAGCCACACUGGGACUGAGACACGGCCCAGACUCCUACGGGAGGCAGCAGUUGGGAAUCUUGGACAAUGGGGGAAACCCUGAUCCAGCCAUGCCGCGUGAGUGAUGAAGGCCUUCGGGUUGUAAAACUCUUUCGACGGGGACGAUAAUGACGGUACCCGUAGAAGAGCUCCGGCUAACUUCGCGCCAGCAGCCGC